CGAUAGGCCUGAAGCUUGAGCAGUUCAUAUUCGACAUAUCCAUUUAAUCCCUGUCCAUGACACUUUUUGAGGUGCUACACGAAGAGGAAUUUGCGCCAGUGAAGAACGCGAAUGGCACAACCUAUGACACCUGAUGCUACUCCAACUGCAUAGCGGAUGGGUAAUUUCUCACCAUUUCCUGUACCCAGAAACUUGUAGAAUUAAAUUACAAGUCAGGCCUUUCAACAUAGAACUUUUAUGAUCAUCUUUCUCAUGAUCCCUUUCCCUCAUAAGCUUCGAGGUUUCUCCUCUCAGCUCCUAUGCCGGAGAAAGCCUUGAGACGAUUUUUCAUGGACGAGGAUUCCACAUUCCCGGUGAGAUUUCGCUAUAGGCGCAUCAUGUCAUGGCAGCAGCAACAUCAAAUGGGAGAUGCAAUGUUGCAAGGCCGAAACCUUGGGGUACAUUGGGUUUCGACUUACAUGUUACAGGAUAUGCGUAGACGUAAGUUUGACUUUCAGAUAAUACAUGCCAAACACUUUUAAAGUUGUGUCGUGCAUGACAGUGGAAACAUCUGUGUAUUGCACAGGAUCCUACAGAGCAGAUGGGCACAUGUAUGUGUGGAGACUCUGAAAAGAUGAACACAUGAAUACAUACAUGGCAAGAAGGGAUUUUACAAUACCUAGGACCUGGACAGGAAUGCUUGAUGAAAUGCUUCAUAAUAUUUUAGCACUGUUUUUCGGCAGUCCUUGUGGUAGGAAAGUUAUCCAUUCUUCGAAAACUCAUCUACUACUACUCACCUUGUAGAAUUUUUUAUUCUGCUGCAUAUUUGGUUUUAUCAUAAAAUGAAUGGAUUAUUCUGAAAUACAGUGUAACCCCUCCCCCCUCUCAACGAUUAUUAUUUUAGCAUUUAUUUAUUAUUAUUCUUUUGCCUCUUGCUAUUGCUUGCUAAAGGCACAUGCAUACACAAAUCUUUCCUCGUGCCAUUGUUUCUUCUGCAAGCACCUAGCAGUGUAAUUUCAUGAAUCAAAGUAAGAUUCUGCUAUUUGGCCCAAAGAAUUAUCUGAUGAUACCUUUUCCCCUUUCCUUGCUAUAGCUACUGGAUGUUUAUUCUUUUUGAGACAAGAACACUUACUUUUGGCCUACUUAUACUAUCAUGUCGAUUCCUAAUUUAGGAGUGAAUAUGGGCUGUGGACUGCUUUUCUUGCAUUUGCGGUGUGUUUGUUCUUACCCUUUCCAGGUAGAGUAACAUGAAAGAUCAAUAAGUCCUGCUUAAAAGUUUGAUGCACUGUUUGAGCAGUGAUUUUGUUUUUUAUGGUGAGAGUUCCUCGGAUGUUAUUUUUCGCUCAAAUUUUGCAAGAAGCUCAAGCAUUUGAUAAUUAUUUUUGUCUCGAAAUUUCAGAUUUUUUGGAUUUUGUUUUAUCAUGUUUUUUCAGUGUUUUUCGAAAUUCGGUGUACUACACUUGAGAGUUGUCACACCUUUCUAUAUAUCUCAUGGUUUUGUGGCUUAUGCCUUGGAAGCUUUUUGCCAAUGCACAAGUGCAAAGUCCUUUCAUUUUCCUCCUGUAUCCUCAGUUGCGUACUAUAACAUUUGACUAUGUGUCGUGUUGGUCUCAAUGGGCUGGCACAGUACUACAGACUAUGGCUAAAGGCUAUGUUUACAAACAUAAAAUAAUGAUUCAAAGAAUAGGAGCAGACGGUGCUACGAUAUUUACCUCAAGGUGAUGAAUCAAUGAACCGAGGGACUUAUUAUUCGGGAAUCAUUGAAAAAAUGUCUUCUCAUCAAGGAUUGGAUUGUGUUCUCAUUAUAGAACAUAAUUUAUUAUGUGAGGCAUUUGCCAUUGCAACAUCUUGUCUAGGGUAUAUUUUUUUCCAUUAAACUGAACUGCCUCGCAAAAAAAAUGUAUGUAAUACCCUCUUCUCCAUAAAUAAAUGACAUCUGCUUGGGCAGUAGGUCAUGCUUGGCAGAAUCGCCUCCUCCCGGUCUUCAACACUCCUGCAGGAAUUGAGCGCCAGUGUGGUCGGGACACAUAGAACACCAACAAGGGAAAAAAACGCACCACUCCUAGGUCAUGCUUGGCAGAAUCGCCUCCUCCCGGUCUUCAGCACUCCUGCAGGAAUUGAGCGCCAGUGUGGUCGGGACACAUAGAACACCAACAAGCGACAAAAACGCACCACUCCAAUAUGCAGCCAGAGUUUGGGCAAUGAUCAAAACGUGGCUUGGUUUACAUGAUGUUCAUCCUACGGACUGGGGAGGCAUGGUUUCCGUCAAGGAGUGGUGGCGCAGCAACACUUAAGGGAGGUCGCAAUCUCGAAGGCCGCUUGUUUCCCUUAUUCCUAUCUCUUGGGAAAUCUGGAAUGAGCGAAAUGCUCGGGUGUUCCGCAACAAUGCGACUCCGGUCGUUGUGCUUGUGACACAUCAAAGCGGAGGCAUCAUCGGGGUGCCUUGCCGGACGAAAUAUUUGUGUAAUAUAAUGCCGCGAGAGUGAUUCUUAAAAUCUUCGUCUUAUUCAAUGAAAAUGACAAGCCUUUGGACUUGUUUCAACAUAAUAUGGACCCGAAUGGAGUGAAAUGUUUAAUAUGUGCAUACCAUUUCUGGAUUGAGAGAUCUAUUUACUGAUGGCUGGUUUUUAAAGAUGUCUUAUAAAGUUGUGAAAUUCUACGAGAAAAGGCUUAUGAGUGGAAUUAAUGAGGACGGUGCUUGUGAAGUUUCCUCCAUAGCUCUUUUGCAAUCAAUCAUUCGUCUGUUAUUAUGGUUGUUCCAUUGUAUGCAUGCACAUUGGAAGGCAGAAAGUAAUGUUGGCUGGUCGCCAGAGAAGUAAAAAGGCCAACAUCUUGAGCUGUAUGGAGCAUGGUUGUUUUCUUGAAGUUUCUGAUGGAUUGUAUACCAUUGACUGAGAGGAAUCGUUCAUUCAUGAGAAUGGGACAAGAGCAUUGCUAGAUGGAAUUCGGCUGAGUGUAAGUACACAUGAGAGGUGUGUUUUCAUUGAUAGAGGAAGGGUGAGAGCAUGACACUUGUACAGGAAAAAGAAAGAAAUGGGAACCAAAAUUUAAAAGUAAAGAGAAGAAUGCUAUGAUCUCAUGAUAAGAUGUCGGUCACCAGCGAGCACCCACAUGAGCAAACCUAUAAUAGGUCCUAAGACACAUAAUAUGUGAUUAAGGGGCAUAAUUGGAUUAUGAGUUUGGACCAGAGAUACUUCCUAAAGUUUAUGCAUUGUAGCCCAGGCAACAAGUAUGAGUUGUCACACCUUUCUAUAUAUCUCAUGGUUUUGUGGCUUAUGCCUUCCUAAAGUAUAUGCACCAGAACAGGAAUCACCGGCGACAAAGAGAAACGUAGAUUGGAAGGAUCUAACU